rnacentral:rRNA from 1 species
UACGUAGGGGGCAAGCGUUGUCCGGAAUCAUUGGGCGUAAAGAGCGUGUAGGCGGUUUGUCGCGUCUGCUGUGAAAACUGGAGGCUCAACCUCCAGCCUGCAGUGGGUACGGGCAAACUAGAGUGCGGUAGGGGAGAUUGGAAUUCCUGGUGUAGCGGUGGAAUGCGUAGAUAUCGAGAGGAACACCAGUGGCGAAGGCGAGUCCCUGGACACUUCCUGACACUGAGGCACGAAAGCUAGGGGAGCAAACAGG